rnacentral:sRNA from 1 species
AUAGCCACAGGCCUCUGCUCCUGCUCCUGCCUGCAUGUUCUCUCUGUUGUUGGAGCCUGGAGCCUUGCUCUCUGGGCACAGAGGGGUCCACUCUCCUGCCUGCUGGGACCUAUGGAAGGGGCUUCCUGGCCAAGGCCCCCUCUUCCAGAGGAGGAGCAGGGAUCUGGGUUUCCUUUUUUUUUUCUGUUUUGGGUGUACUCUAGGGGCCAGGUUGGGAGGGGGAAGGUGAGGGCUUUGGGUGGUGCUAUAAUGUGGCACUGGAUCUUGAGUAAUAAAUUUGCUGUGGUUUGUACACGGUGUUGUCUGUAGCCUGCAAAGGAGAGGCUGGGUUACUGGGUACCAAGAGACAACGUGGGAGAGGAUCAAAGCAGCUAAGGCUGCAGGGCAACCCCACCCACACAUACCCUCAGCUCAGCUUCUCCCUCCUUAUUCUUGGGCUGGAAAUACUGUAGGGUUUACAGUGGUGCAAAUCUCAUUCCUUCCCAGCUCCAAGGAGCCUUUGCUGAAGAUUACAGGAUCUCCCUUCAUAGUUCCAUGAACCACACCUGGGAGAUCUUGGUGAGCAAUGAGCAUGAGACACAGGCCGUGGUGCGACUAAAGAGCGUGCAGGGCCUCUACCUGCUGUGUGAGUGUGAUGGCACCGUGUGUUAUGGCCGCCCAAGGACCAGCCACCACGGGUGCUUUCUACUGCGUUUCCACCGGAAC